rnacentral:rRNA from 1 species
AUUGAACGCUGGCGGCAGGCCUAACACAUGCAAGUCGAGCGAGCGGCGGACGGGUGAGUAAUGUAUGGGAAUCUGCCUGAUGGAGGGGGAUAACUACUGGAAACGGUAGCUAAUACCGCAUACCAUCAGAUGUGCCCAUAUGGGAUUAGCUAGUAGGUGGGGUAAUGGCUCACCUAGGCGACGAUCCCUAGCUGGUCUGAGAGGAUGACCAGCCACACUGGGACUGAGACACGGUCCAGACUCCUACGGUAGGCAGCAGUGGGGAAUAUUGCACAAUGGGCGCAAGCCUGAUGCAGCCAUGCCGCGUGUAUGAAGAAGGCCCUAGGGUUGUAAAGUACUUUCAGCGGGGAGGCGUUACCCGCAGAAGAAGCACCGGCUAACUCCGUGCCAGCAGCCGCGGUAAUAC